rnacentral:rRNA from 1 species
GACGAACGCUGGCGGCGUGCUUAACACAUGCAAGUCGAACGGAGUGCCCCUGAAAGAGUUUUCGGACAAUGGAUGGGAACACUUAGUGGCGGACUGGUGAGUAACGCGUGAGGAACCUGCCUUCCAGAGGGGGACAACAGUUGGAAACGACUGCUAAUACCGCAUGAUACAUUUGAAUCGCAUGGUUUGAAUGUCAAAGAUUUAUCGCUGGAAGAUGGCCUCGCGUCUGAGUAGCUAGUUGGUGAGGUAACGGCCCACCAAGGCGACGAUCAGUAGCCGGACUGAGAGGUUGGCCGGCCACAUUGGGACUGAGAUACGGCCCAG